rnacentral:rRNA from 1 species
AGUGAACGCUGGCGGUGUGCCUAACACAUGCAAGUCGAACGGCUGGACAGUAAUAGCUUGCUCGUACGUGUGGUGAGUUGAGGAUAUGUGAGGAAGACAGCGGAAUGGGCGAGUAAGAGGUGGGUAACGUAGGGAAAAGUAGGCGAAAACAUCAUGAGACAUGCGGGAGUAAGGAGUAAAACUUACGACCUUGCGCGAGUUAGUUGACCGAUGUUGGAUUAGCUAGUUGGCGGGGGAAAGGCGCACCAAGGCGACGAUGCGUAGCUGAUGUGAGAGGAUGAUCAGCCACAAUGGAACUGAGACACGGUCCAGACUCCUACGGGAGGCAGCAGUGGGGAAUAUUCGACAAAGGGCGCAAGCCUGAUCCAGCCAUACCGCGUGUGUGAAGAAGGCUUUCGGCUUGUAAAGCCCUGUUAUUAGGGAAGAAAAGCAGUAGGUUUAUCUCUCGCUUUUCUGACGGUACCCAAAGAAUAAGCACCGGCUAAAUUCGUG